rnacentral:rRNA from 1 species
GUGGGGAAUAUUGGACAAUGGGCGAAAGCCUGAUCCAGCAAUGCCGCGUGAGUGAUGAAGGCCUUAGGGUUGUAAAGCUCUUUUACCAGGGAUGAUAAUGACAGUACCUGGAGAAUAAGCUCCGGAUAACUCCGUGCAAGCAGCCGCGGUAAUACGGAGGGAGCUAGCGUUGUUCGGAAUUACUGGGCGUAAAGCGCACGUAGGCGGUUACUCAAGUCAGAGGUGAAAGCCCGGGGCUCAACCCCGGAACUGCCUUUGAAACUAGGUAACUAGAAUCUUGGAGAGGUCAGUGGAAUUCCGAGUGUAGAGGUGAAAUUCGUAGAUAUUCGGAAGAACACCAGUGGCGAAGGCGACUGACUGGACAAGUAUUGACGCUGAGGUGCGAAAGCGUGGGGAGCAAACAGGAUUAGAAACCCGUGUAGUCC